UACGUAGGUGGCAAGCGUUGUCCGGAAUUAUUGGGCGUAAAGCGCGCGCAGGCGGUCCUUUAAGUCUGAUGUGAAAGCCCACGGCUCAACCGUGGAGGGUCAUUGGAAACUGGGGAACUUGAGUGCAGAAGAGGAAAGCGGAAUUCCACGUGUAGCGGUGAAAUGCGUAGAGAUGUGGAGGAACACCAGUGGCGAAGGCGGCUUUCUGGUCUGUAACUGACGCUGAGGCGCGAAAGCGUGGGGAGCGAACAGG
rnacentral:rRNA from 1 species